rnacentral:rRNA from 1 species
UACAGAGGGUGCAAGCGUUGUUCGGAAUUACUGGGCGUAAAGCGCGUGUAGGCGGUCCAAUAAGUCGGUCGUGAAAUCCCUUGGCUCAACCAAGGAACUGCGUUCGAAACUACUGGACUCGAGUGUCGGAGGGGAUGGCGGAAUUCCCGGUGUAGAGGUGAAAUUCGUAGAUAUCGGGAGGAACACCUGUGGCGAAGGCGGCCAUCUGGAAGACUACUGACGCUGAGACGCGAAAGCGUGGGGAGCAAACAGG